UGGGUCGAUGCCCGAGCGGUUAAUGGGGACGGACUGUAAAUUCGUUGACGAUAUGUCUACGCUGGUUCAAAUCCAGCUCGGCCCAA
rnacentral:tRNA from 7 species